GGUGCUGUUGCUCAGUUGGUUAAAGUGCCUCUUUAGUAAACAGGAGAUCCUGGGUUUGAAUCACAGAAGUGCCU
rnacentral:tRNA from 1 species